rnacentral:rRNA from 1 species
GACGAACGCUGGCGGCGUGCUUAACACAUGCAAGUCGAACGAAAAGAGGGAAAGAGCUUGCUCUUUCCGGAAUUGAGUGGCAAACGGGUGAGUAACACGUAAACAACCUGCCUUCAGGAUGGGGACAACAGACGGAAACGACUGCUAAUACCGAAUAAGUUCCAAGAGCCGCAUGGCCCAUGGAAGAAAAGGUGGCCUCUACCUGUAAGCUAUCGCCUGAAGAGGGGUUUGCGUCUGAUUAGCUGGUUGGAGGGGUAACGGCCCACCAAGGCGACGAUCAGUAGCCGGUCUGAGAGGAUGAACGGCCACACUGGAACUGAGACACGGUCCAGACUCCUACGGGAGGCAGCAGUGGGGAAUCGUCCGCAAUGGGCGAAAGCCUGACGGAGCAACGCCGCGUGAGUGAUGACGGCCUUCGGGUUGUAAAACUCUGUGAUCCGGGACGAAAAGGCAGAGUGCGAAGAACAAACUGCAUUGACGGUACCGGAAAAGCAAGCCACGGCUAACUACGUG